rnacentral:rRNA from 1 species
CCUACGGGUGGCAGCAGUAGGGAAUCUUCCGCAAUGGGCGAAAGCCUGACGGAGCAACGCCGCGUGAGUGAUGAAGGUCUUCGGAUCGUAAAACUCUGUUAUUAGGGAAGAACAUAUGUUUAAGUAAUUAUCCACAUCUUGACGGUACCUAAUCAGAAAGCCACGGCUAACUACGUGCCAGCAGCCGCGGUAAUACGUAGGGUGCGAGCGUUAUCCGGAAUUAUUGGGCGUAAAGCGCGCGUAGGCGGUUUUUUAAGUCUGAUGUGAAAGCCCACGGCUCAACCGUGGAGGGGCAUUGGAAACUGGAAAACUUGAGUGCAGAAGAGGAAAGUGGAAUUCCAGGUGUAGCGGUGAAAUGCGCAGAGAUAUGGAGGAACACCAGUGGCGAAGGCGACUUUCUGGUCUGUAACUGACGCUGAUGUGCGAAAGCGUGGGGAUCAAACAGGAUUAGAUACCCCUGUAGUC